GAACGAGACCUUCGGGUCUAGUGGCGCACGGGUGCGUAACGCGUGGGAAUCUGCCCUUGGGUUCGGAAUAACAGUUAGAAAUGACUGCUAAUACCGGAUGGUGACGUAAGUCCAAAGAUUUAUCGCCCAAGGAUGAGCCCGCGUAGGAUUAGCUUGUUGGUGAGGUAAAAGCUCACCAAGGCGACGAUCCUUAGCUGGUCUGAGAGGAUGAUCAGCCACACUGGGACUGAGACACGGCCCAGACUCCUACGGGAGGCAGCAGUGGGGAAUAUUGGACAAUGGGCGAAAGCCUGAUCCAGCAAUGCCGCGUGAGUGAUGAAGGCCUUAGGGUUGUAAAGCUCUUUUACCCGGGAUGAUAAUGACAGUACCGGGAGAAUAAGCUCCGGCUAACUCCGUG
rnacentral:rRNA from 1 species